UUUUGUUGUUUUUGUCUCUUCUAGGUUUUGGAGGUUGCCAACUAGUCAUUGAAUAUUCCAUCUCAUAUAGUUCCCAGGAACAAACUUGACAGAAAUGGGGAAGUUACCACAGUUCGGACUAUGUGUGAUUUAUGCCUGGAAUGGAACGGAUUGCGAAGAAUCAUCAGGGAACCUGAAAGAUCAGGGCUUCUAACCAGGGAGCCUGACAGUUGUCUUUCCCAAAGCUGUAAGAAGUGACAUGUUACUCCUUGAAGAACUCAUGGGGCAGAGCACAGGGACUGUCUUGUGAAUCAUCUAGCUGACCAAGGGGCUUAUGGUGAUCAGAGAAGAGGUAAGCAGUCUGAA
rnacentral:lncRNA from 1 species